GACACCUUUCACAUCUUUUUCUCCAUGGUCACUCCAGCUGAGCCAUCAGCUGAGAAGCUACUUCUCCAAGUUCUGACCAGAGGCCUGAUACAACCAUGCAUGCUCAAGGGGUUGAGGGCUGAGCAAGGAAAUAUCUUUGGGAACUUAAAAUUUUUCUAUGCUCCCAUUUUCUCUACAUGUUAUUUUAUGAUCUCCAUACACAGGUUUUGGGAGAUACAAUGAAUGUUUACAGAAGAAGAAGCUGAUCACAUUUGGGUUGUCUAGUCUGGAGAAAAAAAGAAAAAAAAAAGGCUGAGAGGUGACCUCACUGCUCUCCAACUCCCAAGGAGGACAUGCAGAGGUAGGUGCUGGUCUCUGCUCCCUGGUAACUGAUGGCAGGAUGUGUGGGAAUAGCACAUAGCUGUACCAGGAGAGGGUCAGACUGGAUAUAUGGAAUAAUUUCUUUACCAUGAAGGUGGUCGAGCACUGGAACCAGCUUCCUAGAGAGGAGGUUGAUGCCCUACACCUAUCAGUGUUUAAAAGGUGUUUGGUAAUGCCCUCAUUAAUAUGCUUUAUCUUUUGGUUAGCCCUGAAGCAGUCAGGCAGUUGGACUUGAUUAUCCUUGUAGGUCCUUUCCAACUGAACUAUUCCAUUCAAUUCUGUUCCAUUCUGUUCAAGUCCAUUCCAUUCCAUUUCAUUUCAUUCCAAAACAUUUUGAACAUCCCAGAUGAAUGAUUUGUACCAGGAUUUGGAUUAUCACUGGUUAAGCUUCAACACAGUCACAGCCACAAGGGGGAUCAUCUUGUUGCAGGAAAUGUCAUGAGUAUGAAGGAAGGGAGAAACUCUGAGACUGCAGCAGUGACAGCCACAGGAGCAUGUAGGAUAUGAAGCCCUGGAUGGGAAACAAGUUCGGAUCUUCUGUGAAACUCAAGGAAGACGGAACUACAUCCACGCCUGGAGCCCAACAUCUCACCUGGGAACAUGACCAUCCACCACAGCUCACUGGAGGGGGUACGGUCACAGGUUAUCGUCACAGGAGCCACCACCUACAUGCACAACUUUUCUUCAGUAAACUGAGUGUCUCUCUUUCUGUCUCUCUUUGAAAAGUCACCACACAAAGGAUAAAAGUGUUUAUUUAGAUGAAGUUACUGAGAUGUAGCCAAGUGUUUGUAAUAAAAACAUUACAACAUGUAAAUUGUGAUUAAUC
rnacentral:lncRNA from 1 species